GCCGGGGUCUCCUAGCGGUAUGGAGCAAGCCUGGAGAGCUUGUGACCUUCGGGUCGCGUGGGUUCGAAUCCCACCCCCGGCGCCA
rnacentral:tRNA from 1 species